rnacentral:rRNA from 1 species
ACUCUUACGGGAGGCAGCAGUGGGGAAUAUUGCACAAUGGGCGCAAGCCUGAUGCAGCCAUGCCGCGUGUAUGAAGAAGGCCUCGGUUGUAAAGUACUUUCAGCAGUGAGGAAGGUGGGUAUGUUAAUAGCAUAUUCAUUUGACGUUAGCUGCAGAAGAAGCACCGGCUAACUCCGUGCCAGCAGCCGCGGUAAUACGGAGGGUGCGAGCGUUAAUCGGAAUUACUGGGCGUAAAGCGCAUGCAGGUGGUUUGUUAAGUCAGAUGUGAAAGCCCGGGGCUCAACCUCGGAAUUGCAUUUGAAACUGGCAAACUAGAGUACUGUAGAGGGGGGUAGAAUUUCAGGUGUAGCGGUGAAAUGCGUAGAGAUCUGAAGGAUACCGGUGGCGAAGGCGGCCCCCUGGACAGAUACUGACACUCAGAUGCGAAAGCUGGGGAGCAAACAGGAUUAGAUACCCUGGUAGGC